rnacentral:rRNA from 1 species
AUUAGGAAUCUUGCGCAAUGGGCGAAAGCCUGACGCAGCGACGUCGCGUGGGGGAGGAAGGCCUUCGGGUUGUAAACCCCUUUUAACGAGGAAGAAACAAAUGACGGUACUCGUUGAAUAAGCCCCGGCUAACUCCGUGCCAGCAGCCGCGGUAAUACGGAGGGGGCGAGCGUUGUCCGAAUUUACUGGGCGUAAAGGGCGCGUAGGCGGGGAAUUAAGUCCGCUGUGAAAGCCCGGGGCUCACCCCCGGAGGGUCGGUGGAUACUGGUUUUCUUGAAGGUGCUAGGGGGAGAUGGAAUUACCGGUGUAGCGGUGAAAUGCGUAGAUAUCGGUAGGAACACCCGUGGCGAAGGCGGUCUCCUGGGGCACUCUUGACGCUGAGGCGCGAAAGCUGGGGGAGCGAACGG